CCUUUGCUUUUUAUAUUCCCCUCUAAAGAAGAAGAAAUAUAUGAUUAAUUUAUAAUGGUACAUUAUUCUGUCAUUGUAUAUGGACUAUAAGGGACGAAGUAACACCAUGUAAAGUGAUUUUUGUUUGUCGUGAUUUAAACAUGAUAAAAGUGUUUCUUUCCCCUAAAUCUUAAGAGCCUCAUUGAACAGGAUAAAAACUACCUCAGACCACAAACAAUCUGAAACUUUUCAAGUACUUUCUAUAUGCUCAUGUGCAUUUUCUUGUUAGCAUAGUUUUGUACUUGAACAGAUAAUCAG
rnacentral:lncRNA from 1 species